AAUGAACGCUGGCGGUAGGCCUAACACAUGCAAGUCGAACGGCAACACCGUAAGAUCGUGCUCUUACGGUUUGCGAAUGACGGGCGGGUUACGAAUACAUCGGAAUCUUCUAUUUCGUGGGUUAUAACGAAGAUGAAAUUACUCUAUUACCGCAUACAACCUACGGUUGAAAGCAUUGGAUCUUCGCAGCUUUCUCGAUUGAAUGAGCCGAUGUCGGAUUAGAUAGUUGGCGGGGUAAAGGCCCACCAAGGCAACGAUCCGUAGCUGGUCUGAGAGGAUGAUCAGCCACACUGGAACUGAGACACGGUCCAGACUCCUACGGGAGGCAGCAGUGGGGAAUAUUGGGCAAUGGGCGCAAGCAUGAUCCAGCGAUGCCGCGUGGGUGAAGAAGGCCUUCGGGUUGUAAAGCCGUUUUGUUGGGAAAGAACAGCAGUAGGUUAAUACCCCGCUGUUGUGACGGUACCCAAAGAAUAAGCACCGGCUAACUUCGUG
rnacentral:rRNA from 1 species